UACGAAGGUCCCAAGCGUUAUUCGGAAUCACUGGGCGUAAAGGGAGCGUAGGCGGCGUGGUAAGUCAGAUGUGAAAUCCCGGGGCUCAACCCCGGAACUGCAUCCGAUACUGCCGUGCUAGAGGAUUGGAGAGGUAGCUGGAAUUCUUGGUGUAGCAGUGAAAUGCGUGGAUAUCAAGAGGAACACUCGUGGCGAAAGCGAGCUACUGGACAACUCCUGACGCUGAGGCUCGAAGGCCAGGGUAGCGAAAGGG
rnacentral:rRNA from 1 species